rnacentral:misc_RNA from 1 species
GAUGAAGAACGUAGCGAAAUGCGAUAAGUAGUGUGAAUUGCAGAAUUCAGUGAAUCAUCGAAUCUUUGAACGCACAUUGCGCCCUCUGGUAUUCCGGGGGGCAUGCCUGUUCGAGCGUCAUUAUAACCACUCAAGCUCUCGCUUGGUAUUGGGGUUCGCGGUUUCGCGGCCCCUAAAAUCAGUGGCGGUGCCUGUCGGCUCUACGCGUAGUAAUACUUCUCGCGAUUGAGUUCGAUAGGUCUACUUGCCAGUAACCCCCAAUUUUUACAGGUUGACCGCGGAUCAGGUAGGGAUACCCGCUGAACUUAAGCAUAUCAAUAAGCGGAGGA